ACAUACACAUUUGUAAAAGAUCAUUUUGGUGUCACUUGGCGCGGUUGGUAAGUUAGCUUUUAUUCUUGCUCCUGUGUUCCUAUAUUUAAGUUGCAAUUGCGUUACGUUUAACCUUACUUGGUGUUACUAACAUGCUAUAUUUAUAUUUAAUAAAAAACAAAUCAUUAUCUUAAAAGACAAACGUCCAUACCCUUAAACAAGUAACACAUGCUUACACGUUACAUUCUUUUCAUCUUAAGUUGCUAAAACAUGUUGUAAUUGUGGUCAGGUUUACAUGCAAGUAAGGUUACAUAUAUGACUAAUAUUUGAAAUAUUGAACCAUCUUAUUGAUUUUUUCAUGAAAGCAGAACUUGAUUCAUAUAGAAAAACAAGAGAUUAUUGGGUAUGCCAUCCAUUGCACAAACUCAGGAAAUGCACAACAAACAAACAAAAGCAAAAUACACUGCUCCUUCUCUAUUCUCAAAGUCAAGGUCAAUGCAUGGUUUUAUUUGUUUUCAAUGUGUCGUUGAAUUUGUUAACACUUAAUGCUCUUCAACUUUGUAAUUAUUUGGCUGUAUAACUAUUUUGAUCUGAGAGUCACUAAUGAGUCUUAUGUAGACGAAACGCGCGUCUGGCGUACUAAAAUAUAAUCCUGGUACCUUUGAAAACUAUUUCCAAAAACGAAUACAUAAUCUGUUAAUAUUUUUUAGCUAAGUCACGUGCUUAUUUUGUAGAGGCGCUGACGUUGCAAACAAGGGAACAUGGAAAUGGAACGAGAGCAAAGAAGUGUUGGACUUUUCUGACUGGGGCAAUAAUCAACCCGGAUGGCCAACAUGCCGAAAAUUAUUUAGCUCUUGGAGGACACGAUGGCUUUAAAUGGCAUGAUUACCCUUGUCAUAAUCAACACGAAUUCAUUUGUACUGGUGAAAAUACAUUUUAACAUAAAAAA
rnacentral:lncRNA from 1 species